ensembl:snRNA U6 U6 spliceosomal RNA
GUGCCUGCUCUGGCAGCUCCUAUACUAAAAUUGGAAUGAUACAAAGAAGAUAAGCAUGGCCUUAUCAUGCACAAAAAUGACACACAAAUUCGUCAAGUGUUUCAUAUUUUU